rnacentral:pre_miRNA from 1 species
CAUUAUGGGCCUGAUCCAAAGCCCACUGAAGUCAAUAGGAGUCUUUCCAUUGAAGUCAAUGAGUUUUGGAUCAGGUCCUCUG